ensembl:misc_RNA 7SK 7SK RNA
GGAUGUGAGGGCAAUCUGGCUGCAACAUCUGUCACCCAUUGAUCACCAGGGUUGAUUCGGCUGAUCUGGCUGGCUAGGCAGGUGUCCCCUUCCUCCCUCAUUGCUCCAUGUGCAUCCCUCCCAAAGCUGCAUGCUAGGUCAAAGAGGACAACCAUCCCUGAUAGAGGGGGACCAUUCUUCAGUCAAGAGCAUACAAGUAGCUGCGGCCCCCUGCUAGAACCUCCAAACAAGCAUACAUUUAGAUUUAUCUCUAUUUUAUAUGGUUUAUGAGUGUGAGUAUACACAUAUACGUACAAAAAAGAUGCAGGUGUUUUCUU